UAAUAAAAUACUAAUAUGUAG
rnacentral:piRNA from 1 species